UACGGGGGGGCAAGCGUUGUUCGGAAUUACUGGGCGUAAAGGGCUCGUAGGUGGCCAACUAAGUCGGACGUGAAAUCCCCAGGCUCAACUUGGGAACUGCGUCCGAUACUGGAUGGCUUGAAUUCGGGAGAGGGAUGCAGAAUUCCAGGUGUAGCGGUGAAAUGCGUAGAUAUCUGGAGGAAUACCGGUGGCGAAGGCGGCAUCCUGGACCGAGAUUGACACUGAUGAGCGAAAGCCAGGGGAGCAAACAGG
rnacentral:rRNA from 1 species